CGAGCGAACAGACGAGGAGCUUGCUCCUCUGACGUUAGCGGCGGACGUGUGAGUAACACGUGGAUAACCUACCUAUAAGACUGGGAUAACUUCGGGAAACCGGAGCUAAUACCGGAUAAUAUAUUGAACCGCAUGGUUCAAUAGUGAAAGACGGUUUUGCUGUCACUUAUAGAUGGAUCCGCGUCGCAUUAGCUAGUUGGUAAGGUAACGGCUUACCAAGGCAACGAUGCGUAGCCGACCUGAGAGGGUGAUCGGCCACACUGGAACUGAGACACGGUCCAGACUCCUACGGGAGGCAGCAGUAGGGAAUCUUCCGCAAUGGGCGAAAGCCUGACGGAGCAACGCCGCGUGAGUGAUGAAGGUCUUCGGAUCGUAAAACUCUGUUAUUAGGGAAGAACAAAUGUGUAAGUAACUAUGCACGUCUUGACGGUACCUAAUCAGAAAGCCACGGCUAACUACGUGCCAGCAGCCGCGGUAAUACGUAGGUGGCAAGCGUUAUCCGGAAUUAUUGGGCGUAAAGCGCGCGUAGGCGGUUUUUUAAGUCUGAUGUGAAAGCCCACGGCUCAACCGUGGAGGGUCAUUGGAAACUGAAAAACUUGAGUGCAGAAGAGGAAAGUGGAAUUCCAUGUGUAGCGGUGAAAUGCGCAGAGAUAUGGAGGAACACCAGUGGCGAAGGCGACUUUCUGG
rnacentral:rRNA from 1 species